UGGAUUUAUAGCACCCUUCGAGGUAUUUAUCAAUAUACAGAUAUACCUUGGAAAAUAUUGUGUGUUGGUUUAAUAUUUUCAUAUCCUCAGAAACCGACCCAAUAAAUAUCCGGAACACGAAACCCAUUACAGGACUGCAAUUUAUUUAUCCGCAAGAUUCGAAAGAAUUUUAAAUUGUAGUGAGUAUCGUAUUCAACCCCCCUUCUACGAUACUUUGGACCUAACAAUUGGCAUCAGAGCCAGGCUGAUUGAUAUACAAAUCAGGAUCCUUAUCGUACGGAAAAUCAAGAACCUAGCUUUUGAUAUUUGAUUAGGGGAAAUGUUCUUCCGGUUUGUGUUGCUAAAUUUGUCCGUAGGCCUAAGCAAGGAUUAUCCGUCGGAUACUGAACUUUGGACCGGGACUUAUAAAUUUAUACUUUAAAUUUUAAUAAGUUUAUUUUAUAAAUUUAACUUAAUUUAUUUUAAACUUAUUAAUUGAGUUUAUUAUGAAUUAAUUAAAUUUAUCUUAUAAACUUAAUUAAAUUUACUUUAUAAACUUUGCUAAAUUCAUUUAAUAAAUUUGCUUAAAUUUAUUUUAGACUUGUAAAGUUUACUCUUAGACUUUAUCAAGUUUAUCAUAAAUUUUUAUAAAUUUAUUAUUUAAAUUUGUAUAGUUUAUGAUUUAAAUUUAAGUUAAAAUAUAAAAUAUAAAUUUAAGAGGAUUUAACUGAUUAUGGAUAUAAGUUCAAGUUCAAGGGUUCAAUUUCGUUUGUUCUGGAAGCUAUGAUUUAAUUGGAGACGAGACACUUGAAUAUUUUCAAAAAUUAAAUUUAUCUAAUAAAUUUUAAUAUAUUUACUAAAUGAAUUUGAAAUAAAUUUAUUCUAAACUUAUUCAGUUUAUUAUGAAUUUAUUUGAAUUUAUUUUUUAAAUAUAAUUAAAUUUACUUUAUAGAUUUAACUAAGUUUAUUUUAUACUUUAUUUUCUUUCAUCUUUUAAAACUUAUUUUUAAAUUUAUUUUCUUUAUAAUUUAAACUUAGUUUAAAUAAUCAAGUGUCCCGUAACCUUUUUAAUUAUUCUACUCCAAGACAAAUCAAAUUGACAUUUAGUUGAGACAGAUCAGGCUGACAGAUUACAAGACAAACACCGGGCUUUCAAAUACCAGAUUCUCAGAACCGGUAAUGGAAGUACAUUGAUGACCCAAUCCAAUUGAUUUCUCAAAGGAUUAUUAGAAGCAGUUUUCUAUGUUCGACAAAGCUGAUUGUGAUUCGAAGAAGAUUCUAUUGAAGACUAAUUUGGUACUACUAAAAGUGGAUUUUGAAGAAGGUACUUCAGGCCUUGAUCUGAGUAAUUACUCCGACUUGAUUAUCAGAUCACCAGAUCAGGAUGGGAAUUUGCUACAUCUACAAUGAAGCAUCUUUCCAGGGCUCGGAAUGUCAACUUUGAAUGGCACCACUAGUAGUAGGAAAAGAGAAGUUUUUGCAGAAGAAUCUUCAAGGGAUUUCAAUCUAACUCAGUGAUUCAGGGAUAUACAAUUACACAGUGAAUUGUAUCAAUGCUAAAUCCAUCCAGAAUCAACUGAACCAAAGACAGAGAACUGUGGAGGUUUAAGGAUAUAAUUAUCGAGUUACUACCGCACCAAAUCAGUUUCGUGCAUUUAUGUCAGAACCUUAGGAUUGAACAGAAGAGUUUGUAACUGCUGAAUUUGAGGAAGCUCAAGUCGACGAAAGUUAACACUUUUGAAGAAUGUGAGGACAGAACUUCAAGGAUUAGCAUAACACUGUCUGAGAGGUUUAGUCAUGUCAGAUUCAGAUGGAAUCCAUUGGUUUCAAGUGGAGACUCUUCGGGGUUCAGUUCGACAGGUUGUUUGAAAACUGAGUUGGUCAGUACACACAAUAUUGUUUGGUAUCUUUAGCAAAGAAGGGUUGCUAUAUAUAUUGAAGCCUCGACAAACAAGGAUGAUAGGGCUUGUCUGAAAUUCAAGUGGAUGUUUUGAAAGAAACAUCACAACAAGUUCUUAUGCUAUUUUAGGAAAGGUGUGAGCUGGAUCAGUUGCUGAUGAGAAGGAUGAUUAUGGUUAUCUGGCUAUCCUAGCAUUCUCUGAAGAUGACUCAACUCGCACAUCUCAGGUACGAAUUCUUUCUAACUAUGCAAUACAUAUUUCUUUAUAUUCAAAGCAUGUUAUAAAUCUCUGAGUAGAAUUGUUUAACACACAAGCACAAGCAUGAUAGCAUCACAAUAGAUAAUGUUGAACUAGUAUGCUAGAUCACUGUUCUGGUAACUAGGAUUGAUGAUAAUCUUGUGCAUGUGUCUUUAGCAGAUUCUUAACAUGUGUAUGAAUAUUUAGGAUUUGAUUAUUUGCAAUGGUGAGAUUAGAAGCUUUCCUUUGGAACACGACUCUUAGUUUUAGGGGUUAUGAUCCUAGCAUGUAUAACUUUGUUAAAACACUUACUUUCAGAUUCCCUAGUACAAUUAGAUUUGCUUAUCUAAUCUGAAUUGUUUGUUAAGGAUUUUAUUUUGUUCUAUGAUGGAAUGUCUACCUUGUGUCAGUAGAACUUUUAGAACUUCAUGUUAGAUCUAAAACUGACUUAGGUAAUAGAGAUAGUAUAAUGCCAUAUAACAACAGAUUGGGAUUAGUAUGAAUUGAUAAUGUGAUUAUUAAUUUCUUGUGUCUAAUCCAUAUGCUUUUCGAAGAUUAUUGAAUAUAUGUAAUUCUACUUGCUACCUGUUGCACUUGUGUUAAUUGGUUUAAGUAGAGAGUACUGAAUCUUCUGAAUUGCAUAACUGCCUGUCUUGCUCUUGUCUUAUCUUUGAUUGUUUGCCAUGUGUAUUCAACAUCAUGUCUGCUUAUUUUCAUGUCAUGAAUGCAUGUCUUUGUACUUGCAUUGAUUUUAGAAAAGCAUGUUUGAGAAUCACAUUAGGGCAAUGUCUAGAUAAGAAUUAGCAUGUUAAGGUUGCUUCUGUUGUUACCACUGUUAAAGAAAAAUCUCUAAUCCAUCCGGACCCAGUUAUGAUUGGGGACCAUAGAACUCUUUCCAUUUGUGAUUGCAGGUUACAUAUGUUCCAUAUGAUUUUUGGUGCACUCUGUUUGCUGAGUAGCUGAAAUCAUAUGAUUCACAAAAAGUACCCUGUUAGCAAAUGUGAUCGUGUGAGCAGUUCCGUCAAUAAUCUUUGAAAGAUGACAACAAAGAUUCUCUUGCGGGACAUGCCUGUUUUCCUGGAAUGUCAUCAUGGAAGCAUAUCUUUCUUGGAAGAGUCAAAGCACACAAAUUCCUAGUAUCAGACUGUUCUCUAACAAAUGACAGUAUGUCAGUUCAUGGAAUAGUGUUUUAUCUCAAAUCAGGAAGGAUGUGAAUUUUGCUCGUAGCUAAUAUGGAACUUCAACUGAAGAUGGAGUGAGCUGUUUUGAUAGUGAAGCCUCAUCAGAUGAGUAUUAGCUAUGGCACUUGAAGCUCUCGCACUUGUAUGUCAAAACAAGGAGCUCUUUCUAUUCGUAAGAAGAGAAUUGGUGAGAGGACUACCUCAUCUGGAAUUCAAUAUGGAUGAAGCUCAUGAGGUAUGUCAAUAGGGAAGUCGAAGGAGCAUCGCACAGAAGCAAAGAUAUGACUAACAUUACUGAGCCGCUUCAGAUGAUACGUAUGGAUUUCUACGGAUCAGCUAAUGUCAUGUCUGCAAACAAAGCUAGAUAUCUUUUUGCGAUGAUCAUUGACUGCUCUAGAUUCUUUCGUGUUGUUCGUAUGUGUUCGAAGGACGAGACGUCACAAAUGAAGGUUGAUCAAGAUGAACCCUGAUCAUUGAUAAAUCCAGAAAGACACCAUUUUUGCCAGUGGCCAAUCAGAAGCAAACACUAACUCUUGGUAUGUGUUUGGAGGAAAAUGCCUCUUUACAAGUCUUGCAUUUGAAGAUCAAAGAAUAUUUUCCUCGGCUACUCUAUGGAGUCUACAGUCUACAGGGUGAUUGUGAUUAAUCAACAGAAGGUGAUUGUAAGUCUGGACAAGAGAUUGAACGACACUUUGCUCCAAGCUGUUAAAGGUGAUAUUAUUGGUUUAAUAAUGAUUCAGAUCCAAGCAGAAUCUCUUUGCAAGGAUAAGGAUUAUUAAAGAAAUCCCAGCAACAGCUUAGGGGGAGCAUUUGGUGGAUCCACUAGUCAAACUCAACACCACAUUGAAGAUGAACAGGACAUAUCAAGAACGUAUCUGCUUAGACAAAGGGUUUGGAGUCAAUAUCAUUCCCGGGUUCUAGUUCUUAAAUGUUCCGAAUGGUGAAGUGAAGACUAGGAGAGCUAUUGUGAAAGGAUGUUGUUUCUUUGGGUUUCAAUCUGAAGUGAAACUUGAGGAAGAUUCAGAAGCUCUUAAAGGGAUCCAGAUUGAGUGAUUGCACAACAAGAUGAUCUCAAUCAGUUUGAAAGCAGAUUGUGCGGAUUCUGAUACCCUGACCUAAAGACAAUUCAGUACUUAGUACUUGUCGGGUAUUCAGAUUCCAACUGGAUAUUUUUGGCUCUGUUACGAGGGACAAGCCAAUUUGGUUGCUUAGAGUUACUACAAAGGAGAAGGUUAUGAAGAUGAUGGAAACAGAAUCUUCAAGUUCAGGACUCUACAUCUUAGGGGACUCAACGACCUUCAUGAUUGAACUAAAGCACCAUUGACGAGACUCGGGUUCAGGAUAUUACAGUGAGCUAGAAGAUGAAGCUUCAUGCAACAUUUCAAGGACUUUGCAGUUGCAGAUCCAACGGAAUUUGUAUUCUCUUUCUUCACCAGCUCUCUAUGAGUUGCUAUCCAACACCUGAUGAUCGUCACGGACAUGGUAUGACUUCUGACUAGCAUAUUAUUUUAAUAUCUGUUUGCUAGAGUCAUAUUUGGUAUCCAAAUUAUUACCUCUCAUGAUACAAGGCACACACAAUACAACUAUCUGUGCUGUGAUACCAUGAUUAUAUUAUAUGUGGACUAACGUCACUUGUGCAAGAUAAUUGCUAAGUGAAUGCAGAUUAGUGAUAUGAUGAGUUUGUUGGAAAGUUGCAAUUCUUUAUGGUCUACUAGUUAGCCUAAAGAAUGAUGGCAAUAAAAGGAAGUCAAGGAUCUUUUGAAUAUGCGCAUUUUGGAAGAUUCUAGACCUGCCAAGACUUAUGCCAACAACCACUGGACUUGAUCAGUACAAGAAAGGUACAUCAACUGAAAUGUCAAGUCUCAGAGGUAUUCAACUUAUCACUUUACUUAACUGCAAGUAGAUCACAUACUAUAUUUUCUAUAAGGUAUUACUUCUUUCAUGAGCAUGUCUAUCGUAUUUCUUGAAUGAAUUCAUGAGUAUUAAAUUGUCUAUACAUAGGACUUGUGAAUUUAUUUAAAAUCCAGUACCUCGUGCUUUUUGCUAUUAUAUGUGAUUGCCAUGUUUAUUGCUUUGCAUGCUUAGAUGGUGAUUAUAUGUUUUAGCAUGAGUAUUUGUUAUUUCAAAUUAUUUAAAUUGUGUUGCAUGACAAUUAAGUGACUUAUUUGUUCAUGAUUUAAAUGAUUAGAGAUGACAUGAAGCAUGACUUAAUUAUGUUAUUUCUCUUGAUCUAUACCUCUUCAACAAUUGGUAUCUAGUAGAGAACUUUGUCAUAAUCUAGUCGUGAUAUAUCUGUAUUUGUGAACAUACUUAGGAUUAUUUUCUAGGUUGAAUUCAUUUUUAUAGGUAUAAAAUCUGAAGCAUGACUUAUUUGUUUCUAGACUUGUGACUUGUAUCAGUAAUUGGUAUGUGGUUAGAAUCUAGUUAGAAUUUAGUCAUGAUAUACUAGUAUUUGUGGAGUUACUUAGAUUCUCUCUAGGCUGAAUCCAUUUAUAUUAGUGUAUAUACUUGAAGCAUAACUAUUUGUGUUGGAUAUUUGAUGAUUUAUUAAUUGAUAUUUUAUUUCAUGUCUAACUGCAUAUAGUUGUGAUACUUUUAGUGUUAGUGAUAUUUUUGCAUGCUUAUAUGUAGAUCACUAAUAUUAAUUGUUAAUAUUUUCUGCGAGGAGUUGUGUGAGUUUACUUGUACUCAAUGCUUACAUGUAUAGGACUUGUGAACUUUUCUUCAACUUUCCCUCGGGCUUGCGAAUAUCUUUGUAUGAUUGUCAUGAUUUUAGUUGUUAUAUGCUGAUCUGAUAAUUCUAUGAUAUUGCAUAGGCAAUUAUUAUUUUAUCUUAGUUAAAUUGUGAUCCAUGACAAUUAUAUGCCUAUUUGUUUCAUGAUUGACUUUGAUAGAAUAAUAGAAGCAUGAUUAAUUCAUUUUUGAAAUAUUUAAUUGGUAUGUAUUUCUGAUGCUUUAUUGAUGUUUUAUUUGUGAAUUGAUUGUGAUGUAUUGGCACUGGUGAAAUAUUGUUGCAUAUUUCUUAAAACCACUGGUGCUAAUAUAUUUUAGGUGUUUAAUAUUCUGAGUACAAGGGAGACAACAUAAUCUUUAUUCUGUCUCAUAUUUAUGUUCUGGAGUGGUGAGUUUCUUCAAAGAAAUUUUCUUAUCAAUUGAUUUCAACAAUUGGUAUCCACUACUCUAUUUCAUAAAUAUUUCUUAGAAUAUUUUGCAUCUAUACAUGUAGCGUCAUAGGACGAGACAUUGAUUAUCUUGUAUUUGUGUACUUGGUGAUCUUUGUCACUUGCAGCGUCUGUUUUGACGAUGUGCUAGUAUGAGGCCUUUUCACUAAUUAGUGUGGCGAGUGCUUUAUACACUGUAGCGCAUAAAUUUUUCUUGUUUUCUUUUUAAAAUUGUAGUGAGAAACAGGAGUCUGUGUCUUUUUCAAAGACAAGUUCAUUUAAACCUUUUAUGCAUAGAUUCAGACUCUCGUACUCAAACCAGUUUUUAAUGGAAAACUUUGAUUCUUUCAUCGGUUGUGAUUGUCAUUCUUUAUGAAAAUUAUUUUUACAAUCACAACUAAUUCAUUUUUCCUCAAAAGAUUAAAUGCAAUUGCUCUCAUUCAAAAUCAUAGAUUUUCUAAAAUGCAUUUAUAUCUCCUUCUGUUCUUCGGAACUUAAUCAACCUCUUGGCUUUCCUAGAUAGUCAUAAGGUUGAAAACCAACAAUCUUUAUCCCAGACUAUAAAACCAAAUUCAGAACACAUCCCAACUUUCCCCCUGGAGUAAUAAGGAACUUAUUAGACUAGAGGUCAAUGAGGGAGAAACUGUACUUGUUGCAGCAAAUAAGGAUGUGAGGGAUAGUGUACCCACAGCUCUACCUCUCAAGAAGAAAAGGUGUUUUCAAACUUGAGGUAACUGUUGCUCAUCUGUAUUCUCUCAAAAGAAUAUAGAGCUGAAAAGGCAAUAAAACAGUCUCUGGAAUCAUUCUCUCAACAGGAUGAGUCCAUUGAAAUUCGCUCGUCAGCCAGAGCAUCUUGUAUUGAGUCAAGCACAUCAUCAGUAAUCACUCUGAUGAAGAGCCUAAACAAAAAAUCUUAUGGACACAAUACAAGAGAGUGCACAGUAAGGUUAAAGGUUUUGUUCCAGAAGCAACUUCUUCAUUUACCAUUUUACGGUAGAUAAGAUGGUUGAUGCCUUUACAGGUGUAAGGAGGAAACGAGGAUCUCAAUUGCCAAAUCUUCAGGAUUCUCGUCUCCCUCCCCAGAUAAGAACAGAUCUGGAUCCAAUCGGAAUGGAUUUCCUAUUUAUAGGAGAUCGGCAACUCUCUGACUAUGAGUCAAUUUAUUGAUGAGUCAGUUGAGGAUCGGGGAUUUACGAAACCCCAUUGCACCGCCAGUGACCUCUCUUGAAGGGGCUAUGGUGAUUUUCUCAUGCAGGUACAGAAGACCAUACUUUGAGUGCUGAGAGAAACACUGUGAGCCAAACACUGAGAGUUAAACACUUGGUGAGAUUCUGAGAAGAACCAGUGAGAUAUCAGAAUGAGAAAUAUGUGAGCAUGAGUGAGUGCAAACACAUAGGAUAUUGAGAAGAGUGAAACACUUGUGAGGUACAUAUAAUAAUAAUUGGUAUUGAAAGCUCACAAGUUGUUGAAAGAAUUGACGGAAGCAACUACGGUUCAUUCCAUUUCACGGUGUGAACUUAUGGUUGAUGAUUCUCUUGAAUCAAGUGUCUUCACAGACAUUGAGGAGGACUUAGGCCUUUGCCAUAAUUAAGCCUUUGUCUAACCUCCCAGAGCAAACAACUCUGGAUCCUUAAUUGGAUAAGCCACUUAGUGGUUGGCAACUUGUGGACCAUGAUUCGGAUUUAUCUGAUGAGUCUGCAGGGACUGGGAAUUACGAACUCCCAUUGCACCACCGGUGACCCCCUUUAAGGGUGGCUAAGGUGAUUUUCUUGCAGGUACUCAGCAUUUUGGAAGCUCAGUAUUUGUGUGGAGGGAUACACUUACAGAACUCGUGAGUGACACCCUUACCCAAAAACCGAGAGAAAAUUGAGUGUUGAGUGAUACACCUGCAGAACAUUUUAGUGAGACACCCACUAAUUACCAAAUUUAUACCUAAAGACAAAGUGGAUGUUGUUACUGGAAUGUCAGUUUUUAUUCCUUACUUUUCCGUUUGGAACCUAUUCUUUCAGCAUAGGGACCAACCCAAUCAAAGUAAACCCUUCUUCUGAACUCUUUCUUCGACCCCAGCUUUAGCGUUGUUUAGUUCUCUAUGGGGAGAUUAUCUUUUGGUACAGGAAGUAUUGUACACGUUCCUUGACCUAUUUGAUACCACAUAUCCUCGGAGGAUUCCACAACUAAGGGGGAGAAUAUAUUUAGGGGGAGAAUAUAUGAAAGGGGGAAGAAAAAGUAAGUUAGCUUUCUUCUGCUGUCUACAACUAAGGGGGAUUAAACUACUCUUUAGCUGUGUACUACUGAGGGGGAGAUUCUUCUUUCAACUAAGGAGGAGGAUUGAUCUUUCAUCUAAGGGGAGACAACUACUUAUCACUAAGGGGAACCUGAUCAAGGUAACGGGAGGAGAAGUAUAAGGUGAUACAUUUAUUCUUCAGUAAGUGGUAGACAUGAACUUAUUCAUUACCACUGAAGAAUUCAAUGAAGCUGCUGAUUGUUCUUUGCAUAAUGGAAUGUUUUGAAUUCUCUUCAAGACAGACUAUGAGGAUUAUCUGGCAGGUAAGCAAGAACCAGAGAAAUAAAGGUGAUAUGCACAUCUGUUAUUUCUAUUCAUGAAAUCUGGAAAUGUAUUAUAUGAUCCAGAAACUUUGUAGCAUUAUUUACUAGUCCAGGACUUUACUUUUUCUAGUGUUAGUUGAGUUAUCCUCCAGAGGAUUUGCUUGUUAUGAUUAACAAACAAAUAGGGGGAUAUUGUAAGUCUAAAUGUAAAGACAACCCUAUCUGUUACAUAGGGAUGAUAACUCAACAAUAGAACAGGACAAGUAAAUAACACUACGCCUGCACCGGAAUCGGAAGAUACGAAGACAAAGGUUGAAGAAGCCAUCUACAGUCUUGAAGGAAUAAGUUCACUGGAAGAAGUUCAUUAAUAUGUUCAUGCCUCAGUGAAGAAUAAAGAUUGAAGUAUUCAAGAUUGUGGAAGCAAUGAAGAUGUUGUCCAAGUACUCGAAAGAUUUCAGUGCAACCCCUGAAGCAAGAUAUUUCUAUAUAUCUUGGUUGGUUAUUUAUAAUCAACAAACUGAAGCAUAAACUAACCCGGAACCGACUGAUCAAUGUUUGCUGACAAAGACGGUACAAUGUUUGACUUCAGUGUUAGUCGCUUGUGAACCAGACCAGUGCACUAAGCGUCAGCACGUACGGAGUUUGCAAAGUAUUUAUCAAUCGAAGAAUUGAUCAAGUCAUAACAAGUCAUUUGUUCCAAACUCAAGCCAAGCCAAAUGCCUAGCCUCUGCAAGCUGUAUCAAGUCUCUGCUCAAAUGUCAUAUGUCAAGCUUCCACACAAAGCCAUAUCAGGAAGUGACCUAUCUUUUAUAUGUGUGCACUUAUAUAUUUGUAUAUGUACAAAUAUAUUUAUAUAUAUGUAUAUAUGUAUAUUUAAUUAAAUAUAAUAUAUAUAAUAUAUAUGUAUAUUUUUUUUUAAACAUAUGUAUAUGUAUAUUUAUAUGUAUGUAUAUUUAAAUAAAUAUAUAUGUAUAUAGUAUAUGUAUUUAUAUUUUACAUAAGCAAUUAUAUAAUUAAGUGUAUAUAUAUAUUAUAUUAUGUGCAUAAAUAUAUGUAUAUUUAGAGAGAGUUAUAUAUAUCUUUAUAUAUAUAUUUAUAUUUAUAUUUACACAUAGUUAUAUGUAUAUUAUAUAUAUUUAAAUAUAUGAGAAUAUAUUUAAAUAUAUGUGUAUAUAUAUGUUACUAUAUGUUUAUAUAAAUAUUAUAUAUAUGUAUAUAUUUAUAUAUACUUUUCUUUAUAUAUAUUUAUGUUUAUAUUUAUAUUUAUAAAUAACUAUAUAUAUCUCUAUAUAUAUUUAUAUAUAUAUUUACAUUUGUAUUUACAUAUAAUUAUAUAUUAUAUAUAUUUAAAUAUAUGAGAAUAUAUUUAAAUAUAUGUACAUAUAUUAUUAUAUGUUCAUAUAAAUAAAAUAUAUAUGUGUGUAUAUAUUUAUAUAUAUUUUUAUUUAUUAAUAUAAUAACAACAUAAUAUAUUAUAUUAUAUAUAUUAUGCAUGCAUGUGAUGAUGUCAGGUGUCUAGGGCAACCUAGGGUUUGCAUGUGAGGGAGAAGAGAUAACAGUGGAGCUCUCCACUGUAGGGGCGCAACUUUGAAGACUGAAGAUUUCUCCUAAGUGCUCAACCUCAGUGUACCCUGUGAGAAGAAAGAAUCAGGCGCCAAGUUUGACUGAAAGUCAAAACUUGCGCUUGGUUUCUUCUUUGGAAAAGUGACUAAGUGAAGCAAUCACUGUACAGAUGAAUGGAGCGCAACAUUUGACCUAAAAAGUCAAAUGUUGCGCCUCCUGUCCAUACACUCACCUUCACACAAUUUUUACUUAGAAUUUUCUAAGUGAGGGCAACACAGUGGGGUUGGAGCGCAACCUUUGACCAAGUCAAAGGUUGCGACUCUAAACUGUAUCCAAGGCGCAAGUUUGUGGAGUGUUGUAUUUCUCUAAGUCAAAAACACUGUGAGGCACUCCUGGCGCAACUUCAAGGGAAGCGCAAAGUUUGACCAAAGCGCAAACUUUGACUUUCCUUUGUUCAACUGUUUUGGCGCAACUCUGCUAUACAUAUUCAUAUAUAUAUAUAUGUAUAUGUAAUUGGCGCCAACACUAGUAUGUUUGGGAGUUAGAUUUAUUUUGUUAAAUCGAAUCCGUCCAGGACGAACUCAAGUCGUCCAGGACGAACUCGUUAACCAUGGUUAGUUUAUGAAAGCCUAUAAAUAUGUGAUUGUGGUUCUCACAAUUCACAUCAUCCUUCGGGAUGGAUGGCCAAGUGCUAUGCACAAACUCUCUCAAAUAUACACACACCCUAGCCUAGUUUUGUACCAUAAAUAUUUGUAGUGGAUAGGGCUUGUAAUAUUUAGAGGAGUGGUCAUUGUAGCCAACCUUCGGGUUUGGAUUUGUAGCACCUUCGAGGUAUUUAUCAAUAUACAGAUAUACCUUGGAAAAUAUUGUGUGUUGGUUUAAUAUUUUCAUAUCCUCAGAAACUGACCCAAUAAAUAUCCGGAACACGAAACACAUUACAGGACUGCAAUUUAUUUAUCCGCAAGAUUCGAAAGAAUUUUAAAUUGUAGUGAGUAUCGUAUUCAACCCCCCCUUCUACGAUACUUUGG
rnacentral:lncRNA from 1 species